rnacentral:rRNA from 1 species
GAUGAAACGCUGGCGGCGUGCUUAACACAUGCAAGUCGAACGGGAAACUUUUUCAUUGAAGCUUCGGCAGAUUUGGUUCUGUUUCUAGUGGCGGACGGGUGAGUAAACGCGUGGGUAACCUGCCUAAGAGACUGGGAUAACACCUGGAAACAGAUGCUAAUACCGGAUAACAACACUAGACGCAUGUCUAGAGUUUGAAAGAUGGUUCUGCUAUCACUCUUGGAUGGACCUGCGGUGCAUUAGCUAGUUGGUAAGGUAACGGCUUACCAAGGCAAUGAUGCAUAGCCGAGUUGAGAGACUGAUCGGCCACAUUGGGACUGAGACACGGCCCAAACUCCUACGGGAGGCAGCAGUAGGGAAUCUUCCACAAUGACGAAAGUCUGAUGGAGCAACGCCGCGUGAGUGAAGAAGGGUUUCGGCUCGUAAAGCUCUGUUGGUAGUGAAGAAAGAUAGAGGUAGUAAACUGG